ensembl:lncRNA
UGAAUGUUUGACAUGUUUUGAAAGUUUUCCCUCUCGCCCACAUCGAAAGUGCUCCCGUGUGAGAGCUGAAGUUCGCGCCGGGAUCUCGGCGCUGUUCUGAAACUCACCGGGGACUCCGACGAUCUCCGCCACCUGCCGCCACGCGUCGCUCCGCAUGUUCAGGUCCCGAUAGGUCGGGGAGUUCAUGUCGUAGAGACUCGGGAAGCCAGAGACCGCCAUGAUCAGCUUGUAUUCCAUUCUCCUGUAUUUAAAACUCUGGCAGAGCGGAGCCGGACUGGAAAGAAAAUAAAAGAACGAAUGGGGGGAAACACUACUUCCGUUUCCGUCUCAGAUCAACACAGCCCUGCCCUCCAGCACUAUCCACAGCAACCCCUCAACAGCAACAUUGUACCCAUCAGAUUGAUGGACUGUAGUUUGUCAGAGAUCAGCUGUGAUUGUCUGGCAGCAGCGCUGAAGUCCAACCCCUCCC